CGGCGAUGUCCGAAUGGGGAAACCCAGUGCAAUUCGUUGCACUAUCGUUAACUGAAUACAUAGGUUAACGAGGCGAACCGGGGGAACUGAAACAUCUAAGUACCCCGAGGAAAAGAAAUCAACCGAGAUUCCCCCAGUAGCGGCGAGCGAACGGGGAGCAGCCCAGAGUCUGAAUCAGCUUGUGUGUUAGUGGAACGGUCUGGAAAGUCCGACGGUACAGGGUGAUAGUCCCGUACACCAAAAUGCACAGGCUGUGAACUCGAAGAGUAGGGCGGGACACGUGGUAUCCUGUCUGAAUAUGGGGGGACCAUCCUCCAAGGCUAAAUACUCCUGACUGACCGAUAGUGAACCAGUACCGUGAGGGAAAGGCGAAAAGAACCCCGGCGAGGGGAGUGAAAAAGAACCUGAAACCGUGUACGUACAAGCAGUGGGAGCACCUUCGGGUGUGACUGCGUACCUUUUGUAUAAUGGGUCAGCGACUUAUAUUCUGUAGCAAGGUUAACCGUAUAGGGGAGCCGCAGGGAAACCGAGUCUUAACUGGGCGUUAAGUUGCAGGGUAUAGACCCGAAACCCGGUGAUCUAGCCAUGGGCAGGUUGAAGGUUGGGUAACACUAACUGGAGGACCGAACCGACUAAUGUUGAAAAAUUAGCGGAUGACUUGUGGCUGGGGGUGAAAGGCCAAUCAAACCGGGAGAUAGCUGGUUCUCCCCGAAAGCUAUUUAGGUAGCGCCUCGUGAAUUCAUCUUCGGGGGUAGAGCACUGUUUCGGCUAGGGGGUCAUCCCGACUUACCAACCCGAUGCAAACUACGAAUACCGAAGAAUGUUAUCACGGGAGACACACGGCGGGUGCUAACGUCCGUCGUGAAGAGGGAAACAACCCAGACCGCCAGCUAAGGUCCCAAAGUCAUGGUUAAGUGGGAAACGAUGUGGGAAGGCACAGACAGCCAGGAUGUUGGCUUAGAAGCAGCCAUCAUUUAAAGAAAGCGUAAUAGCUCACUGGUCGAGUCGGCCUGCGCGGAAGAUGUAACGGGGCUAAACCAUGCACCGAAGCUGCGGCAGCGACACUAUGUGUUGUUGGGUAGGGGAGCGUUCUGUAAGCCUGCGAAGGUGUGCUGUGAGGCAUGCUGGAGGUAUCAGAAGUGCGAAUGCUGACAUAAGUAACGAUAAAGCGGGUGAAAAGCCCGCUCGCCGGAAGACCAAGGGUUCCUGUCCAACGUUAAUCGGGGCAGGGUGAGUCGACCCCUAAGGCGAGGCCGAAAGGCGUAGUCGAUGGGAAACAGGUUAAUAUUCCUGUACUUGGUGUUACUGCGAAGGGGGGACGGAGAAGGCUAUGUUAGCCGGGCGACGGUUGUCCCGGUUUAAGCAUGUAGGCUGGUUAUCCAGGCAAAUCCGGAUAAUCAAGGCUGAGGUGUGAUGACGAGGCACUACGGUGCUGAAGUAACAAAUGCCCUGCUUCCAGGAAAAGCCUCUAAGCAUCAGGUAACAUCAAAUCGUACCCCAAACCGACACAGGUGGUCAGGUAGAGAAUACCAAGGCGCUUGAGAGAACUCGGGUGAAGGAACUAGGCAAAAUGGUGCCGUAACUUCGGGAGAAGGCACGCUGGUGUGUAGGUGAAGUCCCUGCGGAUGGAGCUGAGACCAGUCGAAGAUACCAGCUGGCUGCAACUGUUUAUUAAAAACACAGCACUGUGCAAACACGAAAGUGGACGUAUACGGUGUGACGCCUGCCCGGUGCCGGAAGGUUAAUUGAUGGGGUUAUCCGUAAGGAGAAGCUCUUGAUCGAAGCCCCGGUAAACGGCGGCCGUAACUAUAACGGUCCUAAGGUAGCGAAAUUCCUUGUCGGGUAAGUUCCGACCUGCACGAAUGGCGUAAUGAUGGCCAGGCUGUCUCCACCCGAGACUCAGUGAAAUUGAACUCGCUGUGAAGAUGCAGUGUACCCGCGGCAAGACGGAAAGACCCCGUGAACCUUUACUAUAGCUUGACACUGAACAUUGAGCCUUGAUGUGUAGGAUAGGUGGGAGGCUUUGAAGCGUGGACGCCAGUCUGCGUGGAGCCAACCUUGAAAUACCACCCUUUAAUGUUUGAUGUUCUAACGUUGGCCCCUUACCGGGGUUGCGGACAGUGUCUGGUGGGUAGUUUGACUGGGGCGGUCUCCUCCCAAAGCGUAACGGAGGAGCACGAAGGUUAGCUAAUCCUGGUCGGACAUCAGGAGGUUAGUGCAAUGGCAUAAGCUAGCUUGACUGCGAGCGUGACGGCGCGAGCAGGUGCGAAAGCAGGUCAUAGUGAUCCGGUGGUUCUGAAUGGAAGGGCCAUCGCUCAACGGAUAAAAGGUACUCCGGGGAUAACAGGCUGAUACCGCCCAAGAGUUCAUAUCGACGGCGGUGUUUGGCACCUCGAUGUCGGCUCAUCACAUCCUGGGGCUGAAGUAGGUCCCAAGGGUAUGGCUGUUCGCCAUUUAAAGUGGUACGCGAGCUGGGUUUAGAACGUCGUGAGACAGUUCGGUCCCUAUCUGCCGUGGGCGCUGGAGAAUUGAGGGGGGCUGCUCCUAGUACGAGAGGACCGGAGUGGACGCAUCACUGGUGUUCGGGUUGUCAUGCCAAUGGCACUGCCCGGUAGCUAAAUGCGGAAGAGAUAAGUGCUGAAAGCAUCUAAGCACGAAACUUGCCCCGAGAUGAGUUCUCCCUGAGACUUUAAGUCUCCUGAAGGAACGUUAAAGACGAUGACGUUGAUAGGCCGGGUGUGUAAGCGCAGCGAUGCGUUGAGCUAACCGGUACUAAUGAACCGUGAGGCUUAACCUU
rnacentral:rRNA from 1 species